AACGUAGGGGACAAGCGUUAUCCGGAUUUACUGGGCGUAAAGCGCCCGUAGGCGGCUUGAUAAGUUGGACGUGAAAGCUCCCGGCUUAACUGGGAGAGGCCGUUCAAAACUGACAGGCUAGAGUGAGGAAGAGGAGAGCGGAAUUCCCGGUGUAGUGGUGGAAUGCGUAGAUAUCGGGAGGAACACCAGUGGCGAAGGCGGCUUCCUGGCCUGUUCUUGACGCUGAGGCGCGAAAGCUAGGGGAGCAAACGGG
rnacentral:rRNA from 1 species